rnacentral:rRNA from 1 species
UACGGAGGGGGCCAGCGUUGUUCGGAAUUAUUGGGCGUAAAGGGCGCGUAGGCAGUCGGGUAAGUCUGACGUGAAAUCCCUUGGCUCAACCAAGGAACUGCGUCUUAAACUGCCCGGCUUGAGUCCGGGAGAGGGUAGUGGAAUUCCCAGUGUAGCGGUGAAAUGCGUAGAUAUUGGGAGGAACACCGGUGGCGAAGGCGGCUACCUGGACCGGUACUGACGCUGAGGCGCGAAAGCUAGGGUAGCAAACAGG